GUGGCCGCUUUGGCAACACCAAUACUAACAUUGGAAAGAUACGGAGAAGAUUAGCAUGGCCUCUGCGGGAGGAUGACAUGCAGAUUCAGGAAGCAUUCCAUAAUUUU